UCCUACGGGAGGCAGCAGUCGGGAAUUUUGGGCAAUGGGCGAAAGCCUGACCCAGCAACGCCGCGUGAAGGACGAAAUCCUUCGGGAUGUAAACUUCGCGAGAACGGGAAGAAUAAGUGAGAGUUAAUAUCUCUCGCGAUGACGGUACCGUUUGUAAGCUCCGGCUAACUCCGUGCCAGCAGCCGCGGUAAUACGGGGGGAGCAAGCGUUGUUCGGAUUUACUGGGCGUAAAGGGCGCGUAGGCGGCCACCGCAAGUCGACUGUGAAAUCUCCGGGCUUAACCCGGAAAGGUCAGCCGAUACUGCGGGGCUAGAGUGCAGAAGGGGCAACUGGAAUUCUCGGUGUAGCGGUGAAAUGCGUAGAUAUCGAGAGGAACACCUGCGGCGAAGGCGGGUUGCUGGGCUGACACUGACGCUGAGGCGCGAAAGCUAGGGGAGCGAACGGGAUUAGAUACCCCGGUAGUCCUAGCCUUAAACGAUGAAUGCUUGGUGUCUGGGGUUUUAUAGUCCCCGGGUGCCGUCGCUAACGCUUUAAGCAUUCCGCCUGGGGAGUACGGUCGCAAGACUGAAACUCAAAGGAAUUGACGGA
rnacentral:rRNA from 1 species